rnacentral:rRNA from 1 species
AUUGAACGCUGGCGGCAGGCUUAACACAUGCAAGUCGAGCGAGCGGCGGCCGGGUGAGUAAUUCAUGGGGACCUGCCCGUUAGGGGGGGAUCACUAUUGGAAACGGUGGCUAAUACCGCAUACUAUCGGUUGAACCUAUAUGGGAUUAGCUAGUGGGUGGGGUAAAGGCUCACAUAGGCGACGAUCUCGAGCGGGUCUGAGAGGGUGACCAGCCACACUGGGACGGGAAAACGGCCCAGACUCCUACGGGAGGCAGAAGUGGGGAAUAUUGCACAAUGGGGGAAAGCCUGAUGCGGCCAUGCCGCGUAGGUGAGGAAGGCCUUGGGGUGGUAAAUUACUUUCAGCGGGGAGGCGUUACCCGCAGAGGAAGCACCGGCUAACUCCGUGCCAGCCGCCGCGGUAAUAC